GUGCUUGCUUAGGCAGCACAUAUACUAAAAUUAGAAUAAUACAGAGAAGAUUAGCAUGACUCAUAUACAAGGAUAAGACACAAAUUUGUAAUGUAUUCCAUAUUUUU